rnacentral:lncRNA from 1 species
CGGGGGCAGGUACACCUCCACCUUCAGCUUCAGACUACAGGAGAAACAAAAAUAAAAAAAAUCUUAGGUCAGACAGCAAAAACGAAAGUUGUCAACUAAAAGCGGCCGAGAGGUAAACAUUAAGACAUGAAGAAAGUUACCUCAGUUAAAUAUGCAGGCAUGGGACUGAGUGAAUCCAUGGAGAGAGGUCUGAGUUGUUCAGCCGAGAGGUCGAGCUGAGAAGGUUUUUUUUUUUUUGACAAGUAGAAGAAGCUCUCAAGGGUUUAGGGUUCAGAGGAAAUAACUGAGAGAUGAGUGUUUAAUAGGAGUUAACCGGAAAAGAUCCAGAGAAGUGAAGAGGAGUUAGUGUUUCUCUGAGUAGAGUGAGAAAGAGAGAGAAGACCAAGUGUGGAAGAGAGUAGAGACCGCUCGAAAGUCGGGUGUUUUGUCUGAAGGCCGAAGGUGGAGUUAAUUGGGCUUGCUUUUCAACAGCAACACGGCUGGGCUUUCUGUGCUGGGCCCGAAUGGUUUUCACAGAAUAACUAAAGCGGAUGGGCCAAUUUAAUGGUGAGGCCCAUAUGUAUCAAGUUAUAUAAUUCAAGGUAAUCGAUCGCUCGUCCAUGUGAAGUUAUAUAAGUCGAGGUUUAUAUAUUUUGAUUGAUUUGGAAAUCUAUAUAGUAUUCAUAAAUCCAAGUAAAAUAUGUAAAUCUGGAGGUUUUCCUCGGAU